rnacentral:lncRNA from 1 species
UGUUUACAAAUUUGUGCAAGACGUGCAUAUCUUCGUCACUGGUGGUGAUGAUGAGAUGAGCUCAUUUUGUCAUCUGUUCUACCAGGCUUCUUUGACGCAGUCACCCUUUUUGCUGAGGUAUUUAUGGUUGUACUUUGUUAAUUAUUUUGUAUCAAAAUUUAAUUGAAAGUCAGGUGGGUAUUUACUCAUAUAUGUGUUCCUUUUACUGGAACAAUGUUAACAAAAGUGAGGCACUUGAGAACAUUCUUUAUGCCUUGCCUAGAUUGUUGAUGGAGGGUAUGUAUAUAUUGGGUAUGCAUGUAUGUAUUUAGGAAUUUGCCUGUUCCUCACUGUGAAAAGUUGCAUAACUCUUUAUUUCGGCAUGGAUAUGCAAUAUGUGUACCAUCCACUCAGUUUUAUGUUAUUUAGAAUUGAUUGAGUGUUUUUUAAUGGAUUGAAAUACUUUUACUUUUAUUAUCAUGGCUUUUUAUUGAGUGUUGAUUAUGUUGAGCUGCAAACAGUUUUUAUAAAUCCCUUUGUCCCAUGUUAUAUUACUGCUUGAUAAAUUAAUUAGCAGUGUGCGGGAAGUUUUCUAUGAAUGAGAUAAGAGAAAUUACAUAUGUGCUUCCUGUACCAGGAUUUCUGAUAUAUUUAUCCACUGAUGUAUAGGACAUGGUUACUUGUUCACAUGAUUAUUGUAUUUUUAUCAAACAUUACACCUCUAGUUUAUGCCAUUGAAAGUGGAUGUCAAAUUUAGCUCUAAAUAGUGAAGUUCAUUUGACAAUCUAAAUUUUGUAAAGGUGUAUUGCUUAAGUGAGUUUUACUUUUCAUAUUCACACGUAUGCCUUCAACAACAACAUUCUCAUUUCUUCAUGCAGAUCUAAUUUGUUUAUUUAAAUAUUUGUUAUUAAUAAUUUUAAUGGCAUGCUUCAGUAAUAUGCUUUCUGUUUGGAUAUUAGGAACUCUUGGGAUAUGUUAAUUAUGUUUGUAUUCUAUUAGGAUAUUAGUGAACUCUUAGGGUAAGUUAUGUUAUUUUGCUUUCUGUUAGGAUUUUAGGAACUCUUAGGGUAUGUUAAUUAUGUUAUUUUUGAAUUCUGUUUUGUAAUUUUGUAGUUAUGCGGUUGUGACUUAUUAUAUUUGUUGUUGGUUGAACCAUAACAUAUUUACUUUUAACAUAUUGUGCUGUUUCUCUGUCCGUUUUUUAUGUCUUGUUCUUUCCAUGCAGCAAAAGCGACUCCAUGGAUAUUGUUUUCUUGGCUUGAGGAGUUCUUGUAUCAGUUGCUCAUAUUAAUUCCUCGGGAUGUAUAAUAUACUUUAGGAGUAACAACCCUUGUCACAAGUGGAAUGCUACAUUAGUUUCUGCCAGUCAAGUGCCUCACAUUGCUGACCUUACUGUGAUUUUUUUGUUGAUAAAUAUGCAUAAAAAUGUUUCUUAUCAUUGAGGGGGAUGUUUGGGUGGGAUUAUCUGUUAUGCUAUAAAGAGUUCUCAACAGUGGAGAAGAUGGCAGCAACUAAUUGCACGAGUCAUGAGUAUCCGUAGUAGGUUCUCGCAAGUUCAUGUAUCGGGCUUAUAACACGCUUGUGGGUAACAACUUAAAUACAGUUGAAGUAUGCUUAUUACACGUUUGAACAAAAGCUAUUGCAGCAUUCAAAUGAAUGAAUAUUCUUUCUUGUGAGGAAGCCAUGCAUUUGACUUGAAUUUGUUUUUUUGUUAUAGUUAUGUGUAUUGUUAUUCUUUUUUAAUCCGGGUCUUGAUAAUCGCUUAAUUUACGCGGUUAGUGAUAACUAACCAUGAUGCAAAUAUGAGCAUACUUGUAGUCUGUCCUCCUUGUUGCGGUAAAUGAAAAUCAAGGGAGUAG